CUCAGGUCUCCUGCUCUGCGCCCAGCAGCACGGGGUUUAGAGGCUGGAAAAAGUGAUUCAGAAAAAGAAGAAAAGUAGAAAAAGGAGAUAAUGAAGAAACAGCCGUUAUUCAGUCAUUUUUCUGCAGCUUUACCUGAAAGGAGAAUUGCUUCUGUGUGAUCCAUUACAAGAUACCAACAGCAUCAGUGUACUCCCAGGAAAGACGGUGCCCUCUGGAAAUAAUCAUACCAUCAAAAAUCGCCAACCACAUAAUGAAGUUAACAUCCAUGAAAGAAUCAACAGAUGCAACACAGGAACAGGAAACUUGGACACACUGAGAGAAACCAAGGGUGUGCAAGCACAGAGGGAUGACCACGUGAUCAUUCAGCAAGAGAGUGGCCAUCUGCAAGGCAAGAAGAGAGGCCUCAGAAGAAACCAAACCUGCCAGCACCUACCUCUUGGACUUCUAGCCUCCAGAACUUUGUGUGCUUAAUAAUGCAAGUGAUGGAGCAUUUUACUGAGUCUGGGCAGAGAUUUCAGCAUUCUCUAAAGAAAACCUACACCUAAAAUUAACUUGCUGAGGCAGCCAACUGCAGCCCCAAUGGAGAAGUGCUACAAGGUAUUUGGAGAUAAGAGAAUGUCUCAAAUAGAGAAACCAGAUGCGUUAUGAAAAAUGCGUAGAGGUCUGCAUGGCUGUUGGAUAAAGAAGACGUAUACCCCUCUGCCCUUGAGCAAUUUGAACAGCUAAAUUCCUUUAUUCUUAUAUCAUCUAUUGAAGUCAGCAAGUUCCUCCAGGAAGAAUCAAUAAGAUGGCUGCAUACUUAGAAGGGAUGCCAAACAGGGCUUCCCUGGUGGCGCAGUGAUUGAGAAUCUGCCUGCCAAUGCAGGGGACACGGGUUCGAGCCCUGGUCUGGGAAGAUCCCACAAGCCGCAGAGCAACUGGGCCCAUGAGCCACAAUUACUGAGCCUGGGCGUCUGGAGCCUGUGCUCCGCAACAAGAGAGCCCGCGAUACUGAGAGGCCCGCGCACCACGAUUAAGAGUGGCCGCCGCUUGCCACAACUAGAGAAAGCCCUCGCACAGAAACGAA